rnacentral:rRNA from 1 species
UGGGGAAUCUUGGACAAUGGGGGCAACCCUGAUCCAGCCAUGCCGCGUGGACGAUGAAGGCCUUAGGGUUGUAAAGUCCUUUCACCGGUGAAGAUAAUGACGGUAGCCGGAGAAGAAACCCGGCUAACUCCGUGCCAGCAGCCGCGGUAAUACGGAGGGGGUUAGCGUUGUUCGGAAUUACUGGCGUAAAGCGCGCGUAGGCGGAUCGGAAAGUUGGGGGUGAAAUCCCGGGGCUCAACCCCGGAACUGCCUCCAAAACUAUCGGUCUAGAGUUCGAGAGAGGUGAGUGGAAUUCCAAGUGUAGAGGUGAAAUUCGUAGAUAUUUGGAGGAACACCAGUGGCGAAGGCGGCUCACUGGCUCGAUACUGACGCUGAGGUGCGAAAGUGUGGGGAGCAAACAGGAUUAGAUACCCUGGUAGUCCACACCGUAAACGAUGAAUGCCAGUCGUCGGGUAGCAUGCUAUUCGGUGACACACCUAACGGAUUAAGCAUUCCGCCUGGGGAGUACGGUCGCAG